rnacentral:rRNA from 1 species
AGUGAACGCUGGCGGUAGGCCUAACGCAUGCAAGUCGAACGGCAGCACAGUAAAAGCUUGCUCUUACGGGUGGCGAGUGGCGGACGGGUGAGGAAUACAUCGGAAUCUACUUUUUCGUGGGGGAUAACGUAGGGAAACUUACGCUAAUACCGCAUACGACCUACGGGUGAAAGCAGGGGAUCUUCGGACCUUGCGCGAUUGAAUGAGCCGAUGUCGGAUUAGCUAGUUGGCGGGGUAAAGGCCCACCAAGGCGACGAUCCGUAGCUGGUCUGAGAGGAUGAUCAGCCACACUGGAACUGAGACACGGUCCAGACUCCUACGGGAGGCAGCAGUGGGGAAUAUUGGACAAUGGGCGCAAGCCUGAUCCAGCCAUACCGCGUGGGUGAAGAAGGCCUUCGGGUUGUAAAGCCCUUUUGUUGGGAAAGAAAAGCAGCAGGUUAAUACCCCGCUGUUCUGACGGUACCCAAAGAAUAAGCACCGGCUAACUUCGUG